rnacentral:rRNA from 1 species
UACGAAGGGGGCUAGCGUUGCUCGGAAUCACUGGGCGUAAAGCGCACGUAGGCGGAUUGCUAAGUCAGGGGUGAAAUCCUGGAGCUCAACUCCAGAACUGCCUUCGAUACUGCGGGUCUCGAGUCCGGGAGAGGUGAGUGGAAUUCCUAGUGUAGAGGUGAAAUUCGUAGAUAUUCGCAAGAACACCAGUGGCGAAGGCGGCUCACUGGCCCGAUACUGACGCUGAGGCACGAAAGCGUGGGAGCAAACAGGG